UGAGCCUGGAAGUGCUGCCACCAUUGCAUAUCAUGAUGGUAGAGCAGCGCUGAACUUGCUAGCCUGGUCCGUGCAGGGGCACUGCCUGGGGCCUGAGGCAGAGAGGACACUGAAGAAGAAGCCACCUGGACCAAAGCUGUGUCAGCUGGCUGGGCAAGUGCUAUUCCCAGCAUCCAGUCAGCUUCCACCCACUCAGCAUCUGCUCCCCACAGUUUCCCAUGGUGUGUGUACUGCAGUUUGGCCACGGUGAUCUAGGCAGCCUCCUCAGAUCUCUGUGGUUUUGUAGUUAGUGCCAGAUGGCCUUUGGCCACCAAAAUCUGUGCUUGGCAGCAUCAGCUGGGAAGUGACAACAAGGCUGCUCUCGCAGGGAAAACGAUGGCUGCUGGGACGGCAGAAGUGCUGGUAAAAUCGGCAAGUGUCAUCCUCACUACACCCUAGGUGUCAGUAUAGGUACACGUGUUGGAGGAAGAAGGGGUUCCAGAGUGCCGGCGCCACAGCCUGUGAAAGAUUUGGUGGAGAGGCCAACACAACAAGAUCAGGAGCCUGGGGGUAGGCACAAGCUUCUGACAGGAGAUUAGACAAGGAUGGGAACAAACUGGAAUGUUAAAAACAUCUGUGAGGAUACUUCUGUGACUGAUAUUGCCCUGUCUGUGGCAGUGCAUGAUCACAUCAUGCAUUCAUGACCACAUCAGUGUCAAUGUGGUCCUGAAGAGCCAGGUGAAGCCAUGGACAUGGAGACAAAUCCCCAAACCAUGCUGCUCCCCAAAGCACUGGUGCUUCUCUCCCGUGCAGCUGAGGAAACUGGGCUGCCCUGGAGGGCAGCAGGCUGGAGCUCACACAUGGAUUCAUGGCUAUUGUCAAGCCAAGGAACUUCCACCAUGUUUGCAUUUCCUGCCUCUGUCUAUAGACCAAAAGAUCAUGAACAAAUAUUUCAACAACAGAGAUACAACAUCAGAUAAAAAAAAUACCCUCAAUAAAAACUGUGUUAACACAGCCCCACAUGUAUCACAUGAGCUCGUAAGCAGAGGGGUUGCACUGUCUUACCUUUCAACAAUUAUUUUUAAGCCUCUUUUUGUGUGUGUGUGUGUGCAGAAACUUAUUCUUAGCUCCAAGUUUUGGAAUUAGGUGACCUGAAAGACGGGCCUUGUUUGCAUCCCUUUUCUCCAGCAUGUUCAUAUAUUCAUUACAAAAAGGUGGCUAUUUCCUUCAUCUGAACAUAUUUUUUCACCUUUAUUUCCUUGGAUAGUCUUGCUGUUUCCAGCACCCUGUUGAGCUACACAUGACAAACUUGAAAACGUGCAGUAGAAAAUUCUUUUAUGUGAUUCAAAGACAGACCAAAGCAAGUGCUUAGCUGGAAAAAGAAGAGAAUUUUUUUUCCCCCUAAGAAAUGGGAUUUUCACAGGGAGUGUGGGGUAUUUCUAAAAUUCAUUGGUUUUAAAAGGUCAGAGCAGCAAACUUAUUCUUGCAUGACUGUGUUUCAGUGUUCAAGUGUAGUUGACAUGCAGUUGCCUCCCUUUGGAGACAUGGAAAAUCUAGGUCUAAACUCCACUACCCGCAGGUGUGGUCUGCUGAUACCUGAGGUGCCCUAAAGUAUCCUGCUGUUGUUUGCAGGUCUGUGAGGCCUGUGUCAUGCCUGGGUGCAGGUGUAUCUUCCAGGAUGAAGUGAAUCACAGCCCCUGAUUCCAAAGGCUGUGUUGGACAAAUCCCUCUUGGAUGUAAAGGGAGCAGACAAACCCAGCACACAUAUAGGUGUUUCUAUACAUCUAAAUUUUGUGUUUUCAUAAGCAGCCCUAUUCUGUCCCAUCUGCCCAGACAGUCUCUGAUAUCUCUCUUGUGCUCCCAAUCUCAGCCUCAUUAAGCUGGGGUUAUGAUGCAGCCUUGGCAGUUUGAUAUUUCAAUACAUUUUGUAUCGCUGUCAAAGAGCAACUGAGCUUUCUUCUUUUUAGGC